UGUGUAGGCGGGACAGCAAGUCAGAGGUGAAAUCCUGCAGCUUAACUGUAGAACUGCCUCUGAUACUGUUGUUCUUGAGUAUCGGAGAGGUCGCUGGAACUCGUGGUGUAGCGGUGAAAUGCGUAGAUAUCACGAGGAACACCAGAGGCGUAGGCGGGCGACUGGACGAUUACUGACGCUGAGGCACGAAAGCGUGGGGAGCAAACA
rnacentral:rRNA from 1 species